AAGUCGUAACAAGGUUUCCGUAGGUGAACCUGCGGAAGGAUCAUUAACACGUUAUCCAACGUAUCCACCCAUUGUGAACUUGUUUUCAACAUCUCCCUCGUCUUGUGUGUUUGUCUCUUCGGAGCAAAUGCAACAGAUGGAGGCUAACUUUAUAACCUUCAAACUAAACCUAUUUCACCACUCAUUUUGCUGUUGACUUUUUUUAAUUGCGGGCGUCAAACCCUGCACGUUUAAAACUAUUAAUUGAACGUAAAAAUGUACAACUCUUAGCAAUGGAUAUCUAGGUUCUC
rnacentral:misc_RNA from 1 species